AGUGAACGCUGGCGGUAGGCCUAACACAUGCAAGUCGAACGGCAGCACAGUAAGAGCUUGCUCUUACGGGUGGCGAGUGGCGGACGGGUGAGGAAUACAUCGGAAUCUACUUUUUCGUGGGGGAUAACGUAGGGAAACUUACGCUAAUACCGCAUACGACCUACGGGUGAAAGCAGGGGAUCUUCGGACCUUGCGCGAUUGAGUGAGCCGAUGUCGGAUUAGCUAGUUGGCGGGGUAAAGGCCCACCAAGGCGACGAUCCGUAGCUGGUCUGAGAGGAUGAUCAGCCACACUGGAACUGAGACACGGUCCAGACUCCUACGGGAGGCAGCAGUGGGGAAUAUUGGACAAUGGGCGCAAGCCUGAUCCAGCCAUACCGCGUGGGUGAAGAAGGCCUUCGGGUUGUAAAGCCCCGUUGUUGGGAAAGAAAAGCAGCAGGUUAAUACCCCGCUGUUCUGACGGUACCCAAAGAAUAAGCACCGGCUAACUUCGUG
rnacentral:rRNA from 1 species